GUCUGUGUAGAUUAUAUUAAAUCAUGAUGCUGUUAACUUCAAAAAAAGUUUUUGCUUCACAGUCG
rnacentral:tRNA from 1 species